rnacentral:rRNA from 1 species
AGGUUAAGUUAGAAAGGGCGCACGGUGAAUGCCUUGGCACUAGGAGCCGAUGAAGGACGGUACUAACACCGAUAUGCUUCGGGGAGCUGUAAGUAAGCUUUGAUCCGGAGAUUUCCGAAUGGGGAAACCCCCUAUCCGUAAUGGGAUAGGAUCUUUACCUGAAUACAUAGGGUAUAGAAGGCAGACCCGGGGAACUGAAACAUCUAAGUACCCGGAGGAAGAGAAAGCAAACGCGAUUCCCUGAGUAGCGGCGAGCGAAACGGGAUUAGCCCAAACCAAGAGGCUUGCCUCUUGGGGUUGUAGGACACUCUACACGGAGUUACAAAGGAACGAGGUAAAUGAACAGGUCUGGAAAGGCCGGCCAGAGAAGGUAAAAGCCCUGUAGUUGAAACUUCGUUCCCUCCAGAGUGGAUCCUGAGUACGGCGGGACACGAGAAAUCCCGUCGGAAGCAGGGAGGACCAUCUCCCAAGGCUAAAUACUCCCUAGUGACCGAUAGUGAACCAGUACCGUGAGGGAAAGGUGAAAAGCACCCCGGAAGGGGAGUGAAAGAGAUCCUGAAACCGUGUGCCUACAAGUAGUUAGAGCCCGUUAAUGGGUGAUAGCGUGCCUUUUGUAGAAUGAACCGGCGAGUUACGAUUACAUGCGAGGUUAAGUUGAUGAGACGGAGCCGCAGCGAAAGCGAGUCUGAAUAGGGCGAAUGAGUAUGUGGUCGUAGACCCGAAACCAGGUGAUCUACCCAUGUCCAGGGUGAAGUCCAGGUAACACUGGAUGGAGGCCCGAACCCACGCACGUUGAAAAGUGCGGGGAUGAGGUGUGGGUAGCGGAGAAAUUCCAAUCGAACUUGGAGAUAGCUGGUUCUCUCCGAAAUAGCUUUAGGGCUAGCCUCAUGUAGUAAGAGUCUUGGAGGUAGAGCACUGUUUGGACUAGGGGCCCCCAUCGGGUUACCGAAUUCAGACAAACUCCGAAUGCCAAAGACUUAUCCAUGGGAGUCAGACUGCGAGUGAUAAGAUCCGUAGUCAAGAGGGAAACAGCCCAGACCACCAGCUAAGGUCCCAAAGUAUACGUUAAGUGGAAAAGGAUGUGGAGUUGCUUAGACAACCAGGAUGUUGGCUUAGAAGCAGCCACCAUUUAAAGAGUGCGUAAUAGCUCACUGGUCGAGUGACUCCGCGCCGAAAAUGUACCGGGGCUAAACGUAUCACCGAAGCUGUGGA